GAUGAACGCUAGCGGUAGGCUUAACACAUGCAAGUCGAGGGGCAUCACGGGUAGCAAUACCUGGUGGCGACCGGCGCACGGGUGAGUAACGCGUAUGCAACCUGCCUAUAACUGGAGAAUAGCCCUCUGAAAAGGGGAUUAAUGCUCCAUAAUGUUCGAGAGCCGCAUGGUUUUCGUACUAAAGCUCCGGCGGUUAUAGAUGGGCAUGCGUGACAUUAGCUAGUUGGUGAGGUAACGGCUCACCAAGGCUACGAUGUCUAGGGGGUCUUAAAGGAUGAUCCCCCACACUGGUACUGAGACACGGACCAGACUCCUACGGGAGGCAG
rnacentral:rRNA from 1 species